UCGGGGGGGAGGAUUGCUUGGUGGCUCAGGUUAUGGUAAUCCAAUUAACUGAAUGAACACAUGAAAAGGAAAGUCUUUUGAUUAAAAGCCAGUGAAGUCUCUGGGAUGGAUUGGAUUUUCACUUCUUGGUCUAGUUCAUCUCCAGCCUGCUAAUUAUGGAUAGAGUUUUUGAUCUUUUGUCAUUUGCCUGGAAGGAUCAUCAACAUCAUAUUCCCAGAAAGAAGCUACAUUUUCACCUGUCGUUAGGAUGAUAUCAUGUGUUGUACCAAAUCACAAGAUAUAGAAAAAUAAAUGUGAAUCAUCAUCCUGUGUUAGAGAGAGAUUAUUCUAUGAUAAUUUCUUGAAAGUCUUUAAUUUAUCUUAUGGUAAUUAGAAACUCCUUUGUUAAGUCUUUAGUUUAUCUUAAAGUUGUUGCCUUUCCUUCAAAUCAAACAACUAGCUCUUGGUGUUAAGUGUUUACUAUUUCCCUUUUGUAAUUCCCUUUGUUCAAUUUGAUUCUUGUUUGACAAAGGUGAAAUCUACAGUGUAAAGUGAUAUUUUCAUCAUAUGAUAAGACAUUUUGGUAAGGA